AUUUACGCGUUAUUAUUUCUUGAAAUCGGUGAACAUUACACAACGUUUCCUCGCCAAACCUUUUAAAAGAAGUGAGUAUAGUUAAAAAGGCAUAUAUUUCAAAGGAUUUCGGAGAUCGUCAUUCACUAUAAGUGUAGUAGAAUUAUAAGCCAAAAGAAUGACUUUUGGAACUAUUCUUGUGGUAUCACUUCUCUUUGCUUUAACUACAGGUGGAAUCCCAAAAAAUGAAGAAGAGUGUUUACGCAAAGGUGGUGUGUGCGCAUUUAAAAACUACUGCCCUGUUGAAAACAGAAAUUCUGACUUUGGACUGUGUUCGAAACAGGGAAAGAGGAACGUCGUUUGCUGCCAUCCAGUUUCAGCCGUACAAGCCCAGUGUCAGAACGUUGGGGGAGAGUGCAUGUCUAAGGAAGCUUGUCAUCGCGCGCCUCGACAGACAAACAUAGACUGUGGUGGAGACAAUGUUUGCUGUAUACUACUAUUCUAAUUUCUAUUUGGUGAAAAUUAAUUGUUUUGUGAUCUGUUUGACAGUACCAUAAAUUAAAAUGAUUUUAUGUAUUCAUUAAAAACACGCAACAUGUCUGAAGAUUAAUAGUAUUUGCAUAAGCCAUUUCUAACAACGUUUUUCUCAUGUUGAUGAAUUCCUUUGUGAAUAUUUAGUAUCUUGUUGCUUGAAUAUUUGUAAUUGUUGUUUCAAAUGAACUUUUUAAAAUUCAAAAUGAAAAAAAAUCUUAAGUGUAUUCAAAAUAUUAAAACAAAACUUUAUGGGAAAAAAACGUUUAACAUGUAUGUGGGGGUUUAUGCACCAUCGAUCACCGUAGCAGGGUCAGAAAAACUAUUUUCAAUGCAAGGGAACAUUCUUAAACAACCAAUUUAAUUAUUAAGUGAUGUGUCAAUAGAUGGAUGCUCCUCUUAUUCCUCUUGGGGCCCAAAGCCGACUCUCAGUUACAAGGCUUUGUCAGAUCCCCAUAUACUAGCAUUUCAGGCAUUCAGAGCUAUUUUCAAGUAGUUGUGCAAAUGGAAUGGAUUUUGCACUAAAUGUACUAGAUUCAAUAAUUAGUGUGUUUAUUUUUUAAUCUUCUCUUCCAUGGUGAAUACUACACAACUUUUACCACACAAAACUUAGUUUGAUUUCACGUAUUUCAAUACUUUAAUAAUUUUAGUAUUAAUAAGAACAUGUAAAAAUGCCAGUUAUAAAAUUUAAGUAUACAAACAAACAAACGUCACGUGGCUCACUUUCAAGUUUUAUUCUUCUACUACCUUAAUAUACGUUUUAACUACAUAUAGCACACAAUUCUAAAUAUUUAA